rnacentral:rRNA from 1 species
UGGGGAAUUUUGGACAAUGGGCGAAAGCCUGAUCCAGCAAUGCCGCGUGUGUGAAGAAGGCCUUCGGGUUGUAAAGCACUUUUGUCCGGAAAGAAAUCCUUGGCUCUAAUACAGUCGGGGGACGACGGUACCGGAAGAAUAAGCACCGGCUAACUACGUGCCAGCAGCCGCGGUAAUACGUAGGGUGCAAGCGUUAAUCGGAAUUACUGGGCGUAAAGCGUGCGCAGGCGGUUUGCUAAGACCGAUGUGAAAUCCCCGGGCUCAACCUGGGAACUGCAUUGGUGACUGGCAGGCUAGAGUAUGGCAGAGGGGGGUAGAAUUCCACGUGUAGCAGUGAAAUGCGUAGAGAUGUGGAGGAAUACCGAUGGCGAAGGCAGCCCCCUGGGCCAAUACUGACGCUCAUGCACGAAAGCGUGGGGAGCAAACAGGAUUAGAUACCCUGGUAGUCCACGCCCUAAACGAUGUCAACUAGUUGUUGGGGAUUCAUUUCCUUAGUAACGUAGCUAACGCGUGAAGUUGACCGCCUGGGGAGUACGGUCGCAAGAUUAAAACUUAAAGGAAUUGACGGGGUCAUAGCUGUUUCCU